GACCUCGUAGUUCAGUUGGCUAGAGCGUUGGCUGUACUAAAGCCUUCCCCUUGCCGGCGUGGGUUCGAAUCCCACCAAGGCCG
rfam:Schistocephalus solidus strain NST_G2 genome assembly, scaffold: SSLN_scaffold0002839